rnacentral:rRNA from 1 species
UACGUAGGGUGCGAGCGUUAAUCGGAAUUACUGGGCGUAAAGCGCGCGCAGGCGGUCUUCCAAGUCAGUGGUGAAAGCCCGGAGCUCAACUCCGGAAAUGCCAUUGAAACUGUGAGACUUGAGGAUGAGAGAGGUGAGUGGAAUUCCCAGUGUAGAGGUGAAAUUCGUAGAUAUUGGGAAGAACACCGGUGGCGAAGGCGGCUCACUGGCUCAUAUCUGACGCUCAGGCGCGACAGCGUGGGGAUCAAACAGG